CCUACGGGAGGCAGCAGUGGGGAAUAUUGGGCAAUGGAGGCAACUCUGACCCAGCAACGCCGCGUGAAUGAUGAAGGUCUUCGGAUUGUAAAGUUCUGUGAUGGGGGAUGAACACAAUGACGGUACCCAAAUAGCAAGCCACGGCUAACUACGUGCCAGCAGCCGCGGGAAUACGUAGGUGGCAAUCGUUAUCCGAAAUGACUGGGCGUAAAGGGUGCGUAGGUGGGUUAGUAAGUUGGCGGUGUAAUUCCGGGGCUCACCCUAGGAGCUACCGCAAAAACUAUUAGACUAGAGUGCAGGAGGGGUAAGUGGAAGUCCUAGUGUAGCGGUGGAAUGCGUAGAUAUUAGGAGGAACAGCAGGGGCGAAGGCGACUUACUGGACUGUAACUGACACUGAGGCACGAAAGCGUGGGGAGCAAACAGGAUUAGAUAUCCGAGUAGUC
rnacentral:rRNA from 1 species